rnacentral:rRNA from 1 species
CCUACGGGAGGCAGCAGUGGGGAAUAUUGCACAAUGGGCGCAAGCCUGAUGCAGCGACGCCGCGUGGGGGAUGACGGCCUUCGGGUUGUAAACCUCUUUCAAUGCCGACGAAGCGUAAGUGACGGUAGGCAUAGAAGAAGCACCGGCCAACUACGUGCCAGCAGCCGCGGUAAUACGUAGGGUGCGAGCGUUGUCCGGAAUUACUGGGCGUAAAGAGCUCGUAGGUGGUUUGUCGCGUUGUUCGUGAAAACUCACAGCUUAACUGUGGGCGUGCGGGCGAUACGGGCAGACUGGAGUACUGCAGGGGAGACUGGAAUUCCUGGUGUAGCGGUGGAAUGCGCAGAUAUCAGGAGGAACACCGGUGGCGAAGGCGGGUCUCUGGGCAGUAACUGACGCUGAGGAGCGAAAGCGUGGGGAGCGAACAGGAUUAGAUACCCGAG